rnacentral:rRNA from 1 species
AAAUGUAAUGGGGCUAAAGCCAUACACCGAAGCUUAGGGUUUGCAGCAAUGCAAGCGGUAGCGGAGCGUUCCGUAAGCCUGUGAAGGGAGAUCCGUGAGGACUCCUGGAGGUAUCGGAAGUGCGAAUGCUGACAUGAGUAACGUAAGGGGUGUGAGAGACACCCCCGCCGAAAGUCCAAGGGUUCCUGCUUAAAGCUAAUCUGAGCAGGGUUAGCCGGCCCCUAAGGCGAGGCCGAAAGGCGUAGUCGAUGGGAAUCACGUUAAUAUUCGUGAGCCUGGAGGUAGUGACGGAUCAUUACAAUUGUUCGACCUUAUCGGAUUGGUCGGGCGGUCGCGUGGUCCCAGGAAAUAGCUCCUCCUUAUAGCCCGUACCCGAAACCGACACUGGUGGACUGGUAGAGUAUACCAAGGCGCUUGAGAGAACUAUGCUGAAGGAACUCGGCAAAUUGCACGCGUAACUUCGGAAGAAGCGUGACCCUUCAUUACGCAAGUAGUGGGGGGUGGCACAGACCAGGGGGUAGCGACUGUUUAUCAAAAACACAGGGCUCUGCGAAGUCGCAAGACGACGUAUAGGGUCUGACGCCUGCCCGGUGCUGGAAGGUUAAGAGGAGGGGUGCAAGCUCUGAAUCGAAGCCCCAGUAAACGGCGGCCGUAACGAUAACGGUCCUAAGGUAGCGAAAUUCCUUGUCGGGUAAGUUCCGACCUGCACGAAUGGCGUAACGACUUCCCCGCUGUCUCCAGCAUAGACUCAGUGAAAUUGAAUUCCCCGUGAAGAUGCGGGGUUCCUGCGGUUAGACGGAAAGACCCCGUGCACCUUUACUAUAGCUUUACAUUGGCAUUCGUAGUGGCAUGUGUAGGAUAGGUGGUAGGCUUUGAAGCCAGGGCGCCAGCCUUGGUGGAGCCACCCUUGAAAUACCACCCUUAUCUCUAUGGAUGUCUAACCGCGGCCCGUUAUCCGGGUCCGGGACAAUGUAUGGUGGGUAGUUUGACUGGGGCGGUCGCCUCCUAAAGAGUAACGGAGGCGCGCGAUGGUGGGCUCAGAACGGUCGGAAAUCGUUCGCUGAGUGCAAUGGCAUGAGCCUGCCUGACUGCGAGACUGACAAGUCGAGCAGAGACGAAAGUCGGUCAUAGUGAUCCGGUGGUCCCGCGUGGAAGGGCCAUCGCUCAACGGAUAAAAGGUACGCCGGGGAUAACAGGCUGAUGACCCCCAAGAGUCCAUAUCGACGGGGUUGUUUGGCACCUCGAUGUCGACUCAUCGCAUCCUGGGGCUGGAGCAGGUCCCAAGGGUAUGGCUGUUCGCCAUUUAAAGCGGUACGUGAGUUGGGUUCAGAACGUCGUGAGACAGUUCGGUCCCUAUCUGCCGUGGGUGUAGGAAUAUUGACAGGAUCUGUCCCUAGUACGAGAGGACCGGGAUGGACGUAUCUCUGGUGGACCUGUUGUGGCGCCAGCCGCAUAGCAGGGUAGCUAUAUACGGACGGGAUAACCGCUGAAGGCAUCUAAGCGGGAAACCCACCUGAAAACGAGUAUUCCCUGAGAGCCGUGGAAGACGACCACGUUGAUAGGCCGGGUGUGGAAGAGCGGCAACGCUUGAAGCUUACCGGUACUAAUAGCC